UAUGUGAUCGUCUCUCGCAUAUCAAUAAGCGGAGGAAAAGAAACUAACAAGGAUUCCCCUAGUAGCGGCGAGUGAAGCGGGAAGAGCUCAAAUUUGAAAUCUUAAAGGGUUUCCCUUUACGAAUUGUAGUUUAAAGAAGUGUUUUCUGUUGAGGUUUUGGUAAAAGUUCUUUGGAAUAGGACAUCAUAGAGGGUGGGAAUCCCGUAUUUGACCUUUACUUUCAACUUUGUGAUACACUUUCAAAGAGUCGGAUUGUUUGGGAAUGCAGUCCAAAAUGGGUGGUAAAUUUCAUCUAAAGCUAAAUAUUGGCGAGAGACCGAUAGCGAACAAGUACCGUGAGGGAAAGAUGAAAAGAACUUUGAAAAGAGAGUUAAACAGUACGUGAAAUUGUCAAAAGGGAAGCGUUUGACACCAGUGUUGUUUUUCUGAAAAUCAAUUAAAGAACUGUUUAUGCUAAGCUGUUUAGACUUUAUCAGCUAACUGCUUUAGUUUUGAGCUUUUCUUUAAUGCACUUUUCAGUUAACAAGUCAACAUCAAUUUCUUUUGCUGUAAAAAAGCUUGAGGAAGGUGGCUUGAGAUUCGUCUUAAGUGUUUAUAGCCCUCUUGCCUAUGCAGUCGGAGAGAUUGAGGUCUGCAGCGUAGAUCCUUCGGGGCUAAAUGCAUUUGUGCUAAGUUAUAGCAUUUUAUAGACAACUUGUUGACUAUGAUUUGUCUUGUAGCUUACUCGCUUAUGUUAUUUUACCUACGCUUAGGAUGUUGAGUAGCGACAUACGCAC
rnacentral:rRNA from 1 species